GCUUUUGAAGGAAAACAGUUUUCCUCUGGUUUUAGGGUCCAGUACUUCUUGGUGCAAAUCCUAGUAAAAGCU
rnacentral:tRNA from 1 species